rnacentral:tRNA from 1 species
CGGGGUAUGGCGCAGUUGGCUAGCGCGCAUGCAUGGGGUGCAUGAGGUCGUGGGUUCAAGUCCCACUACCCCGACCA